AUCCCAGUUGAGCAAGAUUCUACUAAUCCGACGGUUUUCAGCAUCCUAAACCUUUACAUCCAUUCUUAGUAGUAUGAUCUUUGUUUCUUAAACCCUAAAUCCCCAUUUUAGUACUCACCUUUUUCUGCAUUUCACUCAUUUUUCACUUCGAUUCUCCAAGGACUCAAGAACAGUUUUGACGCUGAAAUGGCUUGGCGCAGUGGAGGAUCGUUCUCACGCGCUCUCGUCUCUGCCGCUAGGGCACCAUCUCGCCUCUCCUCGCCGCCGCUCCCCCGCAUCCGUCCGCCGUCCACUGCCUCCCCUCGGCUACAGUCGCGCCGACUGUCCUUUGCUACCUCUAGGAACAUGGGAGAACUAGGAUGUAUGCAAUCAUUCUUGCCUCUGCAUAGCAUGGUGUCUACGAACCACCUCACGUCCCGCCUCAAUGCUAACUUGCGGGCUUUUUGCGAGCUGUCUCAUGGUACCUUCUACCGCACUUGUCAGGAUCGCUAGUAGUCUCUUUGUACUUGAAGGGCAAUUGGAUGUGUGCAGCAAAAUGAAACAACAUAUUGAGGAAGUCAGAAAGUGGGUGCACCAUGAGGGUCUUAGGCUUUUUAGGUAGGAAUAUUUUAAUAAAGAUGCAAUGUUUCUAUUAUACUUCAGAGAUUAAUCUUGAAAUGUUCUUACGUUUGGGACAAUCAAAUGGAGGCUUUGGUAGGCAACUAUAUUUUACUUGUAAUUGUGACAGGCAAUAUUUACUUUGUUUCUGCCUGGUAUUUGCAAGAUUAUGCUGAUUAUAACCUUGUUAUUUAUUGGGUUUUCUAUACCUUUUGUUUUUGUUGUCUGUCCUUUUUUUUCUUAAUUAUUAUUAUUAUCCUACAUGUAUGAUGACCGAUAAGUUCUCCAUGAAAAUGUGAUUCCUAGAAGGAUUGCUC
rnacentral:misc_RNA from 1 species